AAUAAAAGAGAAAAGAAAAAAAAAAAAGGAAAAACAAAGCAGCUAAUCUGGCAGAAGAGUUGAGUGGAUUGACUUAUGUGUCUGGGACUUGAGGCCAAAUAGGUGUGCACGGCCUACUUCUCACACGACAAGACUCCACCGAAACUGUGAGCAAUACAUUCUACCCACAACAGAAAGAGAGAGAGAGAGAGAGAGAGAGAGAGGGAGAAACUACAGCUUCAAGAGAUUCCAUUCACAUUCUCAUGAUUCAUAACCACUAGCAAGCAGCAGCAGCAGAAGAAGAAGAAGAAGAAAGAGAGAGAGGGAGCUCGGGGCUUGAGUUUUGUGAAAAGCAAUGCCUGUCAUUUCCAGAAUUCAAUGCUCUUCUUCUCUCAUAUUCUAAUAUUUCUUCCCCUCCUUUUUUCCUUCAUUUUCUUUUUUAAAUUACCCUUAUUGUAUACAUCAAAAUAAGUGCCCUUUUUUUCUUUUUUUUUUUUACUUAGACAAAGGUAAGUGAGUGUUCCAUCAGCAUUUUAUUGUUUCUUUUUCUUUUUGUACUCUAUGAAUGUAACUCUAAGCUUUGAUUUCUUCUUGCAGGUUUCUGAUUUUUACUUUUUACCUUAAAGCUUCUUUCUUUCUUUUUUUUUUUUUUUAUAAAAAUGUUUGGGUGCUGAGAAAUAGUGAAGAGAAAAGAAAAGUUACUCUGUUUAUCAGCUUCUCGAAGUUGAAGAUCUCUAUAAAUAAUAGGUUUUGAUUGUCCAGUUAGAUCCAUUGGAGUAGCUUCUGAUGCUCAUCCAGCUUAUUCCCUUUUCAACUUUAGAACAGUAAUGCAAGUGAAUGCAGCAUUCAAUUUGUUGCAAAUGUUGAACCAAUUGGCUUAAAAGAGAAAAACAAGAUUCUGGGCUGCGUUGGUUUAAGGGAUCAAGAUGUCGUCUUGGGAUCAUUUUGGUGAGAUAGCAAAUGUGGCCCAACUUACGGGUCUUGAUGCAGUUAGGCUAAUAGGAAUGAUAGGGAAAGCUGCUAGUACAGCAAGAAUGCACAAAAAGAACUGCAAGCAAUUUGCACAACAUCUUAAGUUGAUUGGCAACUUAUUGGAGCAACUUAAGAUCUCUGAGCUUAAGAAGUAUCCUGAAACAAGAGAGCCACUAGAGCAGCUUGAAGAUGCCUUGAGACGGUCUUACAUCUUGGUCAAUAGUUGUCAGGAUAGAAGCUACCUGUAUUUGCUUGCUAUGGGUUGGAAUAUUGUUUAUCAAUUCAGAAAGGCACAGAAUGAGAUCGACCGCUAUUUGCGGCUUGUUCCUCUCAUUACUCUUGUGGACAAUGCUCGUGUCAGGGAGAGACUGGAGGAUAUUGAGAAGGAUCAACGUGAGUACACAUUGGAUGAAGAGGAUAGAAAGAUCCAAGAUGUUAUCCUGAAACCAGAACCCUUGAAAGAUCAGACUGUGGUGUUAAAAAAAACUCUUUCCUGUUCCUACCCAAACAUGGGUUUUAACGAAGCUCUAAGAAAGGAAAGCCAGAAGCUUCAGCUCGAACUACAACGAUCACAAGCUAAUUUGGAUGUGAACCAAUGUGAAGUUAUUCAACACUUGAUCGACGUCACAGAAGCUGCUGCUGCAAAUUCUCUUCCAGAGAAGAGUUCACCGGUAAAAACUUCCCAGAAACUGGAGCCCAAUUAUUCAGAUGUUAGUGAGAAAAACCAUUCAUUUGAUGGAAGCUAUCAUAAGAAAAGCGAUUCUCGCACAACUUCAAGAAAUACAUCCUCGGUUUCAUCAGGAGAUGAUUUGCUCUCACGUAAAGGCUCAUACCGGCAUGAAGAGUGGCAUACUGAUUUACUUGGUUGUUGUUCAGAGCCUUCUCUGUGUAUGAAGACAUUCUUUUAUCCUUGUGGCACAUUCUCGAAGAUUGCUACAGUGGCAACCAAUAGACACAUGUCUUCAGCAGAAGCUUGUAAUGAAUUAAUGGCAUACUCGUUGAUACUGUCAUGUUGUUGCUAUACUUGCUGCAUCAGAAGGAAGUUGCGUAAAACAUUGAAUAUAACGGAAAACGCUCAUACAAUCCUUAACUAUCAUAGACAAAAUGAAAAUGGUUUCGAACUUCCUUUCUGAGUCGUCUAGUCAAGGUUUUUCAGUCUGCAAACCAUCAGCUUUUGAUUGGGAGGAAGGUAGUAAUUACAUGGGAGGCUUUGUGGAUGAUUUUCUCUCGCAUUUCAUGUGCUGUUGCUGUGCCCUUGUUCAAGAAUGGCGAGAAGUGGAGAUUCGUGGGCUCUAUGGUUCUGAGAAGACAAAAACUAGCCCACCACCCUCACAGUACAUGGAAUCCUAAGUGAUGGGGGGUGAAUGCAUCAGUUAGUUGUUGGUUGGGCAUUUAUAUACAUCGAAA